CGCAGAGAGAGAGAGACACUGCCUGCCAGCUGUACAGCCUCUGCGGCCUGUAUCCUCAAUACCAGCGGAGCUCCGUCCAGUCUCACAGUCUCCGAUCUGCAGGGCGGCCAUCAGAGAGGAUCAGAAUGCGCUGACAUAGUGAGGAGACGUCUGGGUGUCAAGUUCUGCAGUGAGAACAUUUAGCUGGACCUGGCGAGGAUCAGAAUGCGCUGACAUAGUGAGGAGACGUCUGGGCAUCAAGUUCUGCAGUGAGAACAUUUAGCUGGACCUGGCGGUAUGUACCAUCUGAAUUAGAUAAGGAAAGACUAUAGAGAAGACGUCACCUGUAGUCACUGAUAUCAUUGUGUAGUGUCCUCACUGUCCCAUCACUGGUAAGUUUUGCAGUAAUGAUGGGUGAAACAACAACUCCCAGCAUCCCCUCACCACUACUUAGGUCAUACUGGGAGUUGUAGUUUUAAAUGGUAAA